rnacentral:lncRNA from 1 species
ACGAAACAACGCCUGACGUCGUGAGUGUGGUCACGUUCUGCACCCAAGCAACCGCCCUCCUCCAUUCUCCUCCAGCAGCAGCAAAAGGUUUUUACUCUCCCUUGUUACUGAAUUUAAGUUGGAGACAACAUUUAAGUUCCGAACCUUGUUACUAAAUCAUGUUCUGAAUCAUUGGAAUUUCUGAAUCAUUAACCUUGUUAAGUUUUAAACAAGAUGAUUACCAGUACAUCCAGGACACAUAGGCAACCCAAAUCCAACAUUUCAGUAAGAUUUGCACUGUCUCAAAAUUCAUUCAUGAACUCUGAACUCUGAAAUUAGCACUGUCUCAAAAUUCAAUAAGAUUUGCUCAUUGUUGUGCUCAUUGUUGUGCAGUACUGAAGUACCCAACCAAAAUUUGCUCAUUGUUGUGAAAUUUAUUUUUCUUCCUAGGUUUUGCUAGCAGAUGCCUCUUUUACUGUUUUCAUACUCCUGUGUGGGUAUUAUGUUGUGUAACUAAAAUGCUAGGAUGCACAAGCUGAAAUUUGGCAAUUGGCCAAGCAAACUGUUAAAUUUAUUAGCCCACCUCUUUUUCUGAUGUUGUCAACUUCUCAUGAACUCUUAUGUUGUCAACCAAACUUCAUUUAGUUUCAGUUCAGUUAACCAGGUUACUGAAUCAUGGAGUACAUUGUGGCUCUGCAGGUCUGGCCCAUCGACGAUGACGGCUCCUCCUUGUGCUCAUCGGCCUCGUGCCCAAGUGCUCUGCAAGUCUGCAUCGGGUAAAGUCUGAAGUUUUUGAUCUUUACUACUGUCAAAAUUCACUAAACUUGUGGGUACAGUAAGUUAGUGUUCUAAGUUUGUCUCUGAAAUUCACUAAGUCAGUCGGUGUCAAAUUUGUCUCUGAAAAGCAGUAACUACUGAAAUCAAAAUUCACUAAGCUUGUGGGUACAGUAAGUUAGUGUUCUAAGUAUGCACUGAAUAGUCCUGCUGCACUAGUGGUUAACUGAACUGCUAAGUAUGCACUGUGAAGUUCAGCAAAAUGACUACUCUUUUCUGUCGUUGUGAAUGAAUUUGCUUGAUUGCAUUCUUGUUUGACUGUAUUUGACUGUAACUCUAGCAAUUCUCAAGGACAAGUUAGUGUCAUGAUCAUGAUCAUGUCCAGUCAUGGCUAUUUGGUUUAUGCAAAGGAUUGCAUCUAGGUUUAAUAAUCUUCUUGUGCAUUCAUCCCCUGCUUUUGGACUGGUUUUUUACUUUUACUGCUGUGUAAGUGCACAUUUCUCUCAGAGAUGGAAAUGAACAGGAGAGAGACAAGCAAAUUGGAGAAGGGGAAGAGCAAGAACAAGAGUAUAUCUACACCUGAAAUAAAUUGGA